CCCUUAGAUGUUCUGGGCCGCACGCGCGCUACACUGAUCAGUGCAACAAGCAUCCGUCCUUGGCCGACAGGCCCGGGCAAUCUUUGAACGCUGAUCGUGAUGGGGAUAGACUUUUGCAAUUUUUGGUCUUCAACGAGGAAUUCCUAGUAAACGCAAGUCAUCAACUUGCAUUGAUUACGUCCCUGCCCUUUGUACACACCGCCCGUCGCACCUACCGAUUGAAUGGUCCGGUGAAGCCUCCGGAUUGGCGUGCACCCUCGGGUGCUGCCGAGAAGUUGGCUAAACCUUACCAUUUAGAGGAAGGUGGAGUCGUAACA
rnacentral:rRNA from 1 species